GAGUCCGUUGCUAUCUUUGGUUAUCUAGCUGUAUGAGUGUUAAUCAGCCGUCAUAAAGCUAGAUAACCGAAAGUAGAAAUGUCUUCCGAGCCCUGCGCUUCUCUCGAGGUGGAAUCAAGACACAAUAUGAUCGGAUGGCGCUUUGGAAAUAAAAGAAAUAACCGCGAACAGCUGACAAGCCACACAGCCACCUGCUUCACCCACAUUCGCAGGACAGAUCCAGUGCCUUCAUUCCUGAAAUGGCUUUUGAGAAGUCUACUGCUCCAUAAAGAAUAACCCUUUAAGACCAGCGACUGCCCGCUAUUCCCACCAUGUCUUGAUGGCAGGAAAAAAAAUGGCAUAAUCGUCAAAAAAAAAAAGAAAAGAGGGAGAGAAUGGUGAACCCAUAUCCCCCUCUCUUUAGCCCCCCACCCCUGGGAGCCUUUAAUGCCAUCUGUGCCCUCCUUAAAAAAUAAAUUAAAAAAACACAUACACACAAGAAAAGCAAGAGACUUCCACCCGGUGCCAACGGGGACAAAGGAGCUGCCAGUCGUCGUGGUCCCCCCACCCCCACCCCCACCCCCACCCCCACCCUGCCAGACACCGGGGAACAGGAUGACUGAGUGUGGGUGUGCUCAGGAAGCCAUCUUGAUGGGAAAUCUCACUGCUGCUGCUGCUGCUGCCGCUGCUGCCGCCGCUGCUGCUGCUGCUAAAUGCUCCUAAAAUGGCUGUGUGGGCAUGAGGUGGGUUGCAUCCUUGCCUUCUUUCAGCACUGGCUUUUUCCAUCUCUCUCACAUUGUGCCUUCUUCUCCCCUUUGUUUUUGUUCUCUCGAAUUUUGUCCCUGCUUUCUUUCGUUAAUUACCACGGUGGGUUUUGGGGAAAUUCUAAUUAAACUAAGGAGAACGGGCGACACGAAGACCUGCUGCGACCCCAAUUGUUUCCCCCCGUUCAACACACGACCGUUCCUCCUUUAUUCUGUCUGCCCAAGGACUGAGGAUGCUGCUGUUAUCCAGGAGGGUGAGCAGCUUGCUGGAUUGGAUGAGCUGCAAAAGCUAUCAUUUAACCACUGUAAGCAGACCAGAACAUCUCUGAAGACCAGGAUGGACUGGCACUGUGGAAUCUCAACUCGUGAUAUGAGAAAUAUUCGAUGACCGUGGCAUUCUAUAAAGCUGCUGGGACUGCCUGCAACACAUAAACAGAAAUCUUUACUUCUGAGAGACAAGCACCACUGAGGACUUUACAGGUUUAUUUGUGUCUUCAACUGACACGAUUCCCUGUGGAAACUGAAGCCCAACAGUCAGCUCUGUCUGUCACUUCCUGAGUGUGUCACAGUUCUAUAAAUAAACAGCUGGUGAUGUAGGACACCGGGACUCUGGCUCCUUGUCCGGCACAGAUAAUAAACACCAUCUAGUCUUAAAAUGGUCCUGUUGCAAUCAGAAAAAUUCAUGUGCAUGAUUAUGAAAAUCUGUGUGAUUUUUGUGGCGCUGAACUGGCAUUUCUACUAGUUCAUUAACUCACACAGUGUGUGCAUGCUCUUCAGUGUAUCACAGUCUACGAACUUUUGAUGUGUAAACUGGAAUUUGUCUGAAAAAUCUUAAAAGAAGUUUAAAUCUUUUUUGGUCAACUUAUAUUGCUGUCUAUAAUAUAAUGGGAAGUCCUGUGCAAAUAUGAGAUAUGGUAUGCUCCUCCUUUGCGUUAUAAUACAAAGCGUAAGUUGUGCAUGAAAAUGAUUACUUUUAAAUGACAUUAAAAGUUUUUAGUCACAAACAGAUGUUGUUCACAAUUAUACUGCCAGUACUGAUACAAAAUAGCCUCAUAUUAAAUAAAAUUGACAAUAACUUUAUUUUCUUGUCUUCAUAAUUCUGUUUACUUGUAUUCCUUUAUUAUGAGGUUCUCUCAAACCCGAGAAUGCAAGGGAGUUACUUUAAAUCGAAAAGCACUGAUGUUGUAACCCUAUAGACUACUAGCUGCUCAUGUUCGAAGUCCAGAGCUACAUCAUCCUAUAAUCUGCCUUUCAGUGUCCCGGAUACUGGAGAUGCCAGUAACAAUAGAACAAUAUUAGCAGUUUCAGUGUUUCACAUGAAGACCUUAUAGGCUGAAACAUACUUUGAACUGUGUAUGAUAUAGACUGUGUAUACUAUGUAAGUGUGACUCAGAGCUACGUUAGUCGCCUUGUCGUUACAUUUUAUUCCCUUCUGUGGACAAGCUGUGUUUGCAAUAGAUUCUAUACACAAUUCUAUACAUAAAGUUUGGUAGUAAAAAUGUUAUCACUUGACUGUUAGUACUAUUUAAGUGUUAUUUUUACUGUUAGAAAUAUUAUUUCUUUCUCAAGCUACUCCUAAGGUUCAAUAUUUAGUUCUGAGUACAUUUGGAAAUAGAAUAUGCCCUGUCUCAGUUGUGUGCAAUUUCAAGUUCCAAUUUGAAACAACAACAUAAAUAUCUGUUUCUGAUGACAUACUGAAAAUAAAUUUUCAACAUUAACAGAAUUUAUUCACUGUUUCACUGAGAA